rnacentral:misc_RNA from 1 species
GUUAAUUUGAAAUUAUGAAACAUAGCAAAUUGUUGUUAGAAUCGUAGCUUGGCCUUAUGUCCAAAUUACACGGGUGUUGAUUAGACAAUCACAUGGGCCUGUAUUUCUUAACAUGGCAUCAAAGCGGUGAGGCCCAACAGGCAUAGAUUUUAGAUCUGAAAGCAUGGUGGGCUGUGCCUAAAUGAGGUAGACCCAUGAGCUGAGCCA